CAGCAGCCGCGGGAAUACAGAGGGUGCGAGCGUUAAUCGGAUUUACUGGGCGUAAAGCGUGCGUAGGCGGCUUCUUAAGUCGGAUGUGAAAUCCCUGAGCUUAACUUAGGAAUUGCAUUCGAUACUGGGAAGCUAGAGUAUGGGAGAGGAUGGUAGAAUUCCAGGUGUAGCGGUGAAAUGCGUAGAGAUCUGGAGGAAUACCGAUGGCGAAGGCAGCCAUCUGGCCUAAUACUGACGCUGAGGUACGAAAGCAUGGGGAGCAAACAGGAUUAGAUACCCGAGUAGUCCCUGUCUCUUAUAU
rnacentral:rRNA from 1 species